GCCUAGUUAGCUUAGAAGUGCGUCUGCCUUGUAAGCGCUAGGCCGCGGGUUCGAUUCCCGCCCGGGGCG
rnacentral:tRNA from 1 species